rnacentral:rRNA from 1 species
AGAGUUUGAUCCUGGCUCAGAACGUACGCUGGCGGCACGCCUAAUACAUGCAAGUCGAACGAAGUAGCAAUACUUAGUGGCAGACGGGUGAGUAACAUGUGGGUAUCUUCCCUUUGGUGAGGAAUAACACGAGGAAACUUGUGCUAAUACCUCAUAAGUCUUUACAGAGAAAGCUUUAUGCGCCAUUGGAUGAGCCUGCACUUGAUUAGUUUGUUGGUGGGGUAAUGGCCUACCAAGACAAUGAUCAAUAGCUGAUUUGAGAGGAUGAUCAGCCACAUUGGGACUGAGACACGGCCCAAACUCCUACGGGAGGCAGCAGUAGGGAAUCUUGCACAAUGGAGGAAACUCUGAUGCAGCGAUGCCGCGUGAGUGAAGAAGGCCUUUGGGUUGUAAAGCUCUUUCGUCGGGGAAGAAAAUGACUGUACCCGAAUAAGAAGGUCCGGCUAACUUCGUGCCAGCAGCCGCGGUAAUACGAAGGGACCUAGCGUAGUUCGGAAUUACUGGGCUUAAAGAGUUCGUAGGUGGUUAAAAAAGUUGAUGGUGAAAUCCCAGAGCUUAACUCUGGAACUGCCAUCAAAACUUUUUAGCUAGAGUAUGAUAGAGGAAAGCAGAAUUUCUAGUGUAGAGGUGAAAUUCGUAGAUAUUAGAAAGAAUACCAAUUGCGAAGGCAGCUUUCUGGAUCAUUACUGACACUGAGGAGCGAAAGCAUGGGUAGCGAAGAGGAUUAGAUACCCUCGUAGUCCAUGCCGUAAACGAUGUGUGCUAGACGUUGGAAAUUUAUUUUCAGUGUCGCAGCAAAAGCGUUAAGCACACCGCCUGGGGAGUACGACCGCAAGGUUAAAACUCAAAUGAAUUGACGGGGACCCGCACAAGUAGUGGAGCAUGUGGUUUAAUUCGAAGAUACGCGCAGAACCUUACCAACACUUGACAUGUUUGUCGCGACUCUAAGAGAUUAGAGUCUUCGGUUCGGCCGGACAAAACACAGGUGCUGCAUGGCUGUCGUCAGCUCGUGUCGUGAGAUGUUGGGUUAAGUCCCGCAACGAGCGCAACCCCUAUUUUUAGUUGCUACCAUUUAGUUGGGCACUCUAAAAAAACUGCCAGUGAUAAGCUGGAGGAAGGCGGGGAUGACGUCAAGUCCUCAUGGCCCUUACGUGUUGGGCUACACACGUGCUACAAUGGUACUUACAGUGAGAAGCAAAGAGGCGACUCUAAGCCAAUCCCAAAAAAGUACCUCAGUUCGGAUUGUACUCUGCAACUCGAGUACAUGAAGCUGGAAUUACUAGUAAUCGCGGAUCAGCGCGCCGCGGUGAAUACGUUCCCGGGUCUUGUACACACCGCCCGUCACACCAUGGAAGUUGGUUACACCUUAAGGCAAAGCUUAAAACCUUUGACUACGGUACGAUCAGCGACUGGGGUGAAGUCGUAACAAGGUAACC